GCACCUAUAGCUCAGACGGAUAGAGCAGUGCCCUCCUAAGGCAUGUUUUGCGUAGGUUCGACUCCUACUAGGUGCACCA
rnacentral:tRNA from 1 species